rnacentral:rRNA from 1 species
AACGUACGCUGGCGGCACGCCUAACACAUGCAAGUCGAACGAAGUAGCAAUACUUAGUGGCAGACGGGUGAGUAACAUGUAGGUAUCUGCCCUUUGGCCUGGAAUAACACGAGGAAACUUGUGCUAAUACCGGAUAAGUCUUUACGGAGAAAGCUUUAUGCACCAUUGGAUGAGCCUGCACUUGAUUAGUUUGUUGGUGGGGUAAUGGCCUACCAAGACUGUGAUCAAUAGCUGAUUUGAGAGGAUGAUCAGCCACAUUGGGACUGAGACACGGCCCAAACUCCUACGGGAGGCAGCAGUGGGGAAUCUUGCACAAUGGAGGAAACUCUGAUGCAGCGAUGCCGCGUGAGUGAAGAAGGCCUUUGGGUUGUAAAGCUCUUUCGUCGGGGAAGAAAAUGACUGUACCCGAAUAAGAAGGUCCGGCUAACUUCGUGCCAGCAGCCGCGGUAAUACGAAGGGACCUAGCGUAGUUCGGAAUUACUGGGCUUAAAGAGUUCGUAGGUGGUUGAAAAAGCUAGUGGUGAAAUCCCAGAGCUUAACUCUGGAACUGCCAUUAAAACUUUUCAGCUAGAGUAUGAUAGAGGAAAGCAGAAUUUCUAGUGUAGAGGUGAAAUUCGUAGAUAUUAGAAAGAAUACCAAUUGCGAAGGCAGCUUUCUGGAUCAUUACUGACACUGAGGAACGAAAGCAUGGGUAGCGAAGAGGAUUAGAUACCCUCGUAGUCCAUGCCGUAAACGAUGUGUGUUAGACGUUGGAAAUUUAUUUUCAGUGUCGCAGGGAAACCGAUAAACACACCGCCUGGGGAGUACGACCGCAAGGUUAAAACUCAAAUGAAUUGACGGGGACCCGCACAAGUAGUGGAGCAUGUGGUUUAAUUCGAAGAUACGCGCAGAACCUUACCAACACUUGACAUGUUCGUCGCGACUCUAAGAGAUUAGAGUUUUCGGUUCGGCCGGACGAAACACAGGUGCUGCAUGGCUGUCGUCAGCUCGUGUCGUGAGAUGUUGGGUUAAGUCCCGCAACGAGCGCAACCCUCACUUUUAGUUGCCAUCAUUAAGUUGGGCACUCUGAAAGAACUGCCAGUGAUAAGCUGGAGGAAGGUGGGGAUGACGUCAAGUCCUCAUGGCCCUUACGUGUUGGGCUACACACGUGCUACAAUGGUAUCUACAACAGGAAGCAAGACUGCGAAGUUAAGCAAAUCCCUAAAAGAUACCUCAGUUCGGAUUGCACUCUGCAACUCGAGUGCAUGAAGCUGGAAUUACUAGUAAUCGUGGAUCAGCGUGCCACGGUGAAUGCGUUCCCGGGUCU